rnacentral:rRNA from 1 species
CCCUUAGAUGUUCUGGGCCGCACGCGCGCUACAAUGAUGAAUUCAACGAGUUUAUAACCUUGGUUGAAAAGCCUGGGUAAUCUUUUGAACUUUCGUCGUGAUGGGGCUAGACCCUUGCAAUUAUUGGUCUCCAACGAGGAAUUCCUAGUAAACGCAAGUCAUCAGCUUGCAUUGAUUACGUCCCUGCCCUCUGUACACACCGCCCGUCGCACCUACCGAUUGAAUGGUCCGGUGAAAUCUUCGGAUUGAGACUUUGAUUUGUUUACUCAAAACGCUGUUUCAAGAAGUUGAUUAAACCUUACCAUUUAGAGGAAGGUGAAGUCGUAACA